UCGUGUUUCCGGGUGGUGUGCCAUGGCGGAUCCCACGCGCCGUACGCCGCGAGUGAGCUGAAGUUGGCGUUGCACGACGCUUUGGACUCUACUGGAAUCGAUACAACCUAUGCCCGAGAGGCUAGAGAGGGUUUUUGCUCUCAGAUCAAUAAAUUAUCCAAUAUUGAAAGGGAAACCAGUAUUAGCAUUAAUAGAUGUGUUGAUUUGGGGAAAACAGCUCUUCAUAUAGCAGCAGAGGAUGACUCCCUGAUAUCACAUUCAUCAGUUCCUCUCCCUGUGGAUGCUUUCAUCGACCGAUUGGAUGAUCUUUCUGUGGGAUAUUGCCCUCAUUAUAACUCAUCUUUGAAGUCAUCACGAGAAAAUUUUUUGGAUAGUAUAGAGAGAUAUUUGUUUGAUAAAAAGGGUUUUCGGAGAACCAGUGUGGGAAAUCAAAUAGAUCCAAGAGCG